AGUCCUUAGAGAUCGUCUGCUUAAAGGCUGAGACCCUCGCCACCAGAGGAUAGGAGGGUAGCCCAGUGAUGCGGCGGGAGGUGAGGUGGUUCCCGAAUGGUCCAGGGGGUGGAAACUCUAAGGGGUCCCCGUAGGCGGUGCACCUGAUCCAGGCAUUAGAUACCUACAGUCCUCUAGCAGGUGGGGAAAGCUUAAACUAGGAAAGCAAAAAGCAGGACCAGGGGAUUUGGAUCUCCCUUUCCUUUCCAGACUUUAGGUAGCUCCUGCCUCGCUGGCCUCCAGCCUAUGUGUGCCCACCCUCCACGCGUCCCCAGCACCGCAGGGAAGCCAUCCGACGCCUUAACCUUUCCCUGGCUAUUCCAAGCAAGGCAAAGGGCCAAGCGUCUAGGACUCUGGUCUUCUCUGCACCUGGUAGGCGUGUCACCUCAAGCAGCAGGGCGUGCCCAGCGCGUGCCUUCUCUCUUUGUCCCCCACCCCCACUCCCUCCUGGCUCGUGCUAGAGCCAGGACUAGAGGUUCGAAAGAGAGGUGGGGGGCGUGGUUCUCGAAGUGGGGGGGGGGUCCUCAGCUGUAUGGUAAUGAGGUUCUAGUCUUUUCCCUCAGUGCCUAUCUCACCUGGGUCGCGCUUGGUCUCCAUAUCCUCAUCCUGGCCCCCACCCGCGUCCCCUAGCUCCGCUGGAGUAGGGAGGAAACUUUCUUAAUUCCAGAAUUUCCUUGGGCCACUUGAGAGGCAAGGUGAGAGAGCUUGAGGCUGAUCAGGUCUAGAUCUCUCUGCAUAGGGCAGGAUGUAGGGUGGAACUGGAGGCGCAUAGAGUUGUUUGAGUUUCGGGUGGUUUCACCCAUGUCACACGCGCGCCUCUCCCGGGUGGCCUCCGAGCGCAAACCCUGCAGCUGCUUUCCCAGAACCCGUCGUGCUCCCCCGAGGCUGCAGACCGGGGAGGGCUGGCUUCUCCCAGUUUUGGGGGGUGCUAGAUUUCUCUCUCUCUCUCUCUCUCUCUCUCUCUCUCUCUCUCUCUCUCUCUCUCUCUCUCUCUCUCUCUCUCUCUCUCUCUCUCUCUCUCUCUCUCUCUCUCCUACAGUGAGAGCGGUGGGGGCCCUGUGGCUUCAGCUGUCAGCCCUCCCGCGUGGUGAUUGCUGGCUAUGGUCGGACGAUAAGAUCAGUGCGGGCGGGGGUUGAGGGGAGCAGGGACGCGGCUCCAGCCCCAGGGAGGCCGUGGUAGGGGGAAGUGGAACCCAACAGCUGCCAAUGACGAACAUGGUCUGAUAUUUUGACUUGGGUGGUGGUGAUGGAGAAUUGGGGGGGGGUAAGAAACAUGAGGUUGUGAGCGUGGGGUGGGGGGUGGGGUGAGGUGAGGCGACAGGCUCCGGGGUCCCCCACGCACGGCCACCCCUCCCAGCCACCAUCUGGCGCGAGCGGGUUGGCGUGGGGAACCGAGGUGAGGCGGGGGCCGGCAGAUGGGCCCAGGCUGCACUAGCGAGUUAAUGUAGGUUAUGGGCAAGCCGAGUCCCAGGCCCGAGGGACGGGGAGCUCGGGGCGUACCUCCCGGCGGUCCUGGCAAGUGGACUUCCAAAUCCUCUCUGUCUGCAUCCUCUUUGCACCGUAGACCUGCCUGGAGUGCCAGAGGGUGCUCCCUCUCUCUCCUUGGAGCUGGGCUUGCAACCCCACCUGACUCUAAUGGUUUUCAUCUAACAGUUUUCAUCUCAAAAUCCUAGCCUGGGAGUUAGUAGAAACUCUAACGCGGGCACUUGCUUGACUCUCAAGGGAGACUCCCACACGGGAUAUCUAUUAUUUUGGAAGUGGCCUACCCUCAUACACAUUAGUAUGCCAAAAUAUUUGGCAAAUAGUGAAGGGCCAAACAAAAGUUGGAAUCACCAUUUUCCUCAGAAAUGGACAAAUCACCCACUUAUAAAAUUUCUGACCUAAGAA
rnacentral:lncRNA from 1 species